rnacentral:sRNA from 1 species
AAAUAUUAUUAUUUAUAUAUUUAAACUUUAUAAAACAUUAUUAAUAUUUAAACAAAAAGUUUAAUAUAUCAAAAAAUUUAACAUCAUUAUAUAAUAUAUAGUUUAAAAAAUCUCAAAAAAAAAUCCGUCAUAUUUUGUGAUUCAAAAUUUUAAAAAUGAACAUAUAUUAACCAAUUAGCGAAAAAUGUGUGGGUUCAACAUCCCGCAUCGACUAAAAUAUUUAGACAAUGAUUCAUAAAUAAGAUCAACAUUAAUAAAAUAAAUGUUUUUUUUGCAGGAUGGGUUUUGCGGGACGGGUUUGGCAGGACGUUACUUAAUAACAGUUGUAAACUAUAAAAUAAAAAUAUUUUAUAGAUAGAUACAAUUUACAAAUUUUUAUAUAUAUACUAUCUUUAAAAAAUAAAUUGUCCCCGCGGUGUACCGCGGGUUAAAAUCUAGUUUAAACUCUAUAAAUGGAGGCUUGGUUCAAUUUAUUUGGACACAUAAAAAAAUGUCAUUUCUACCAUAAUUUUCUUAUUCUUCUGCCAUAAAUUCUAUAUAUUAUUCUACCAUAAUGUCAUUUUUAAUUAAUUUAAUUUAGUUUUAAUAGAUAUU